AUGGCGUCCUCUCGCGUCCUCCACCUCAUCGCCCUAGUCCUCGCCGUCACCACCGCCGCAGAUGCGGCCACCAUCACCGUCGUCAACCGCUGCUCCUACACGGUGUGGCCGGGCGCGCUCCCAGGCGGCGGCUCGCGUCUCGACCCGGGCAAGUCGUGGCAGCUCAACAUGCCUGCCGGCACCGCGGGCGCCAGGGUGUGGCCGCGCACCGGGUGCACCUUCGACGGCAGCGGCCGCGGGCGGUGCAUCACGGGCGACUGCGGCGGCGCGCUGGCCUGCAGUGUGUCCGGCCAGCAGCCCACCACGCUGGCGGAGUACACCCUGGGCCAGGGCGGGAACAAGGACUUCUUCGACCUGUCCGUCAUCGACGGGUUCAACGUGCCCAUGAGCUUCGAGCCCGUCGGCGGGUCGUGCCGCGCUGCGCGCUGCGCCACGGACAUCACCAAGGAGUGCCUCAAGGAGCUGCAGGUGCCUGGAGGGUGCGCUAGCGCGUGCGGCAAGUUCGGCGGCGACACGUACUGCUGCCGGGGCCAGUUCGAGCACAACUGCCCGCCGACAAACUACUCGAGGUUCUUCAAGGGCAAGUGCCCGGACGCCUACAGCUACGCCAAGGACGACCAGACCAGCACCUUCACCUGCCCACCUGGAACCAACUACCAGAUCGUCCUCUGCCCUUAG
rnacentral:rRNA from 1 species